AGUCAACAAAAUCUAACUUUGGAUAUUAAAGACCACAUGAGUCACAUAAAUAUCCUUUAUAUUAUUUUGUCAUUACUAAAUAAACAUCGAACAAGUUUAAAGAUUAUGAUAUUGAAAAGAAAAAUAUUUUAUACCAACAAUAGGAUGAAUUUAACAAUACUACAUCAUUUUAUCCAGGUAAAAAAAGAUCAAUUCGAUCGCCCUCAACCUUCUUUACUACUAUUAUUACGGUUUAGAGUCACUAAGAAUGAAAACCAGCUCGCCAUAUAUGGUUAGAAUAAUGCACCGUAUUCAUUUAGAUGAAAUUAAAAAAGGACUGGUAACUAGUAAGUUGAUGGGACAAGUUUAUCUUUCAUUACUACGUUCUUGCGAGGUUACAUAAGGUUAAUCAUCACCUUGUCAAUGACAUCUUGUAUUAACACGUCGUUUUAAUUAUUUUGCCGACAUAGACGAAUUUUUUUACGAGUACUUUUAUAUAUCAUAAUUCAAUGGAUUGGUGAAAUCACAACCUCGACAAUUUAGAAAAUUAUAGUUACUUCUUCUGCUCUUCGUUGUUGACAAACAUAUAGUGUGAAUCAAAAUUGAUGUCAAUAUCUGUGGGCAGUGCUAUUAAGUUUUCGUUUAAUUUUUUCAAAUUUAUGUCAUAUUUAAUUGGUAUCUAGGAAUAUCUGAAUAAUCUCAUCACAUAGAAUCUGUAUGUCUCUGAAUGUUUCAUCAUAUUUUAGACAUAGCAUUCUAAGAGAAUGAGAAUGCUCCUUCUUUAUCAACAGUAGAAUAUUGGGUAGCAGAAUUUAAACGAUGCCGUACGACCUGCGAAGACCAGCAUCGCAGAAAAAGAUUUUAAUUAAGUAUACCUAAAUUAGAAAUUUAAUAAACAAAGAUAAGAAUAAAUGGAGAAAGGAAAAAAAUUAAGCCAUGCCUUCAAUGCUAAUUAUACAUACAUGCACGUUCCUCAAGCACAUGAAAGAAUUCAUAUUUGAUACAUCAAGAGUUGAUGUAGGACAGACCAAACAUAGAGGCAUAAUGUGUUCAAAUACCCACAGGAAUUUAAUAAAUCAUAAUUUGAACUAUUUGCACGUAAUUUCCAGGAUGUUAUUUCAUAAACAUAUAGAAAAAUAUAAACUGAAUACAGGAAUAAAUUGAAACCCAUUUUUUUAAAGGAUAAUUAUGGAAAUGAAAGUUGUUAUGCUACAAAAUAAAGUUGGUAAUUUGAAAACAUAAAUUGUAUAAAAUUUUAAAUGUAAUAUCUAUUUCAGGAGAAAAAAACAUCAGAAUAAAUUUAGAUAAUAGUUUUUUCAUUAAGACUGCAAACAGAAAAGUUGUAUAAACAUUAAAAAUAAAUUGACCCUGAACCAUCAUCAAAGAUUAUUUAUGAACUUUUCAUUUAGGUUUAUCACAGUAAUUGAAUCGAUUCCCUAGUCAAUAUUCAGUCAUCAAACAAUUCUAAUAAAUACGAAUUAUUCUGUAAAAUAUAGAUCUUCACCUACUUGGGAUGAUUGUGGUCAAGUUAUAAAACAUUUUCAUCAAUUUGAGUUAGUUAUAUUUUCAGAUUAAGGAAAUAAUUAAAAUUAUUGUUCAAACUUAACUAUAAAUCGAGAUCUAAAUGAAUAGACACAUUGAGAGCACCAUCAUUAUAAAUUCAAUUCACUGUAAGUGGAUAACCACUACAAGUUGAUUCAGCUUAAUAGAUGAAUAUGAUUGCAAUUCACAAUAAGCAUUUAACUAGAUAACAGAUAUAUUAUCAUUUGAAAUAGAAACUUCCUAAUUAAUACUUAUUUUUAGAAAACCUUAAAGGGCAACUUUAGUAUGUUUACAAAACAAAUUAUUUAUAAUUUGUUGAGAUUAGUUCAUUGAUCCCAUGGAGCAAUGAAUAAACAAUCUAUUUUUUCA